rnacentral:tRNA from 1 species
GCCCGAACUGCUACAUUUGGCUAAGUGGCGGUUAGUGACCCUGACUGCUAUGCCGAAGGUCCCGGGUUCGAUUCCCGGCUGGGGCA